rnacentral:lncRNA from 1 species
UCCAUUUUCAUUGUGCUACAAACCAGCCUAUAGCAUUCUCAUGUUCUAGCUUCACCUGCAGCAUCAACAGUUCCAGACAGUUCCCCACAGUUCCUCACUGCCUCGAAAGCAGAACUCAAUGAUUCUAUCUGCUGGAUAGAGGAUGGAGUAUGGAGGGGCAAUAGUGAAACAGGAAUCCUUUGCAAAAGUCCAGGUAAAUGAUGAUGGUGGCUUGGAUGAGGAUGAUAUCAGUGGUGAUGGUAAAAUUCAGGAUUUAUUUAGGAGGAAUUAACCUCUAGGAUUUGUUGAUGAAUUGGAUUUUGGGAGCGAGGUAAAAAGGAAACCAGAAUGAGUCCUAAGUUUUGACUUGA